UUUGGGGAGGCUUUUGAAGUUUGUCUUUGCUGGAGGAAGUGUGUCACUGGAGGCAAACUUUGAGAGAGAUGUUGGCCAUUUCCAGUGCACUUUUUCAGCUUUCUGUUUGUGAUAGAAGAUGUCGUGAGCUCUUAGCUUGCUGUUGCAGCCACUGAGCAUGCUGCCCCCACUCUGCCUUCGUGGACUCUUAACCUGUAAGACAAAGAUGUUCACCUCAUGGAACUCCAGGACUAGAAAGCAAUCAUGUCUCUGAUUUUCCACUUGUAGACAGUCCCAAUCCCUGGCUGUCCUCCUCACUGGCGGCAUCUCCCGCAGUUGCUCCAGUCACGUUCGCAUCCAUUGUAGAAGAAGAGCGGCAACAGGAAGCUGCCCUCAUCAGAAGCCGAGAGAAACCCUUGGCUCUCAUUCAGGUUGAGGAACAUGCAAUACAGGACUUGCUGGUUUUCUAUGAGGCAUUUGGCAACCCUGAUGAGUUUGUCAUCGUUGAAAGGACACCACAGGGACCAGUGGCAGUGCCUAUGUGGAACAAGCAUGGGUGCUAGCUCACUGGAGAGGACACUGCUCCUAGUUGUGGUUACCCUGCCUACAUGAAGAAAAUGCAUGUGCAAGCGUUCUUAAGAUUUGUUAGCUCAGUGUUCCCGUCAGAGCAAGAGUGGAUAUGAUUUCUUCCCGUAGUUUAUAAUGUUUGUAUGACUAAUGAGACAUUUAUCAGAAUUGUGAUUUUAGUGACUGUCAUG
rnacentral:lncRNA from 1 species